AUGCGAUAAGUAAUGUGAAUUGCAGAAUUCAGUGAAUCAUCGAAUCUUUGAACGCACAUUGCGCCCGCCAGUAUUCUGGCGGGCAUGCCUGUUCGAGCGUCAUUUCAACCCUCAAGCUCAGCUUGGUGUUGGGACUCGCGGUAACCCGCGUUCCCCAAAUCGAUUGGCGGUCACGUCGAGCUUCCAUAGCGUAGUAAUCAUACACCUCGUUACUGGUAAUCGUCGCGGCCACGCCGUAAAACCCCAACUUCUGAAUGUUGACCUCGGAUCAGGUAGGAAUACCCGCUGAACUUAA
rnacentral:misc_RNA from 1 species